AGCGAUUCUCCUGCCUCAGUCUCCCGAGUAGCUGGGCCUACAGGCGCCCACCACCAUGCCCAGCUAAUUUUUUUUUUUUGUAUUUUUAGUAGAGACGGAGUUUCACCAUGUUGGCCAGGAUGGUCUCCAUCUCUUGACCUCGUGAUUCACCCACCUUGGCCUCCCGAAGUGCUGGGAUUACAGGCGUGAGCCACCACGCCCAGCCCCACAAAUAUUCUUAAAAGCAGAUAUCUGUGCCUUCUUAUUGGAGAUGGAAGACAUUUUACCUCCUCUCUCCUUUCCUAAACCCAUUGAAAUGACAUUAAAUACAAAUAAAAGAGGGGAGGAUUACCAUGGCAGAUGGGAGGCAGGACUAGACUGCAGCUCUGGACAGAGCAGCGUGUGGAGGCUCACAUCGUGAAUUUUAGCUCCAGAUUGACUGCAAGAAAAAACCAACAGUCCUGAAAGGACCCAUAGACGCUUUGAAGGAAGCAGACAGCUCCUGCAGGACCUGGGAGACAUCUCAAAUACGAUUGUCUCAUCCUGGAUAAGAGAAAAUCCAUAAGAGUUGGCGUCUAUGGGCACCAGAAUCUCAACUGUAAUAAUAAGUGACAAUGAUUAUCAUCUGAAAAAAGUGUCAAAACAUCAUACUGAACCCCCAGAAUAUGUGCAAUUAAAUUCUUCGUCAAUUAAAAGAUUUUUUACUAAGUUAAAAAGCAAUAUCUCUAAAGAAUUAUCA
rnacentral:lncRNA from 1 species